UUUGGAUCGCAUCCAUAUCAGAUCUGCUUUUCGGUUGUAAAAACAACAGAGAGCUGUAAAGCAAGAAGGAAGAGUGACUCCAAGAGCAGAGCGAAGGAAGCAAGUGCACCAUCAGCAUCUGGAUGGUUCUAUGUACAGAUAGACACCUGACAACCACCAUUAUACUUCCUGUCUCUCUGA